CCUGUGUGCCCUCUGGUCGUGCUUCUGUGACUAGUUCCACAACCUCCGCUAAAGUGAUUGCCCGAGGGUUAGUUUGAGCCGCAGACAAGAUAAAUGCUAUUGUUUUAGCCUCGGAGGUAGCCAUUAGUCUGCUGGGCGGGACUGCAAACAAAAAGGGCAGGAAGCAGACAAAGAAUCGCACACUUUGCCACACAGUGGAAACAGGUGUGUCCCGGCUGCUUUCGUCGGAAGGGUUAAUCUUUUUUGUAAGCGCUCAGGGGCAAGAAAAACAACUCACCUGGCAUUCCCUCAUCAAAUCCGCACCACAUUUACCACCCAUUGUCUGGUUCCAGUGUCGCGUUACUUCCCUCUGAUUGUGUCCGCCGAUGUGUUUUGGCUCCUGGGUGCUUUUUCUAUUGUGGCCUGAAUGGAAGGCU